CCCAGGCUGGAGUGCAGUGGCAGGAUCUCGGCUCACUGCAACCUCUGCCUCCCGUGUUCAAAUGAUUCUCCUGCCCCAGCCUCCUGAGCAGGAUCACAUAUGAACUGUGAAGACUGAAUUGACCAUGAAGUGCACCACAACGAGUACUGUUCUGAUUAUACAGGGCCAGCAGGAGCACAUCUCUCUUAUCUAUUUCUGUAAAACCAGCUAAAGAAAACACUUCUGCUUCGACUCUCAGUUCCACCAACAAUAAUAUCCUCUUUGCUGUAUAGCACAACAUAAUACCAGCAGUGAUAGCUUAUUAUAUUCAUGGGUUCUGUCUAUGAUCAAGGGGAAUGUAGGGAGCAGCAAUCUUGGAAGUUGUCUUAGAAUCCUGCUUAUCACAGCAUUAGUUGUUAGUUAUUAGUAAUAAUAAUACAAAUGUAUUAGUUUUUGUGGCUUCAAAUACAUGUUUUAUUUUCUUUUCUGAAGUUUAAAUAUACAGAUUUUUAAGAUAAAUAAUAAAAUAAGACAUAAUGUAUAUUUAAUAAUAAUGUGUCCGUCUGUAUCUCUGGAUGUAAACUAGAAAAAUUGCCACUGUGAUCAAAUUUUGAGUUUUUCAUGAGUUUAGCAUUUGUGAAGCAGUUCAAAUUUAGAUUAAUGCAAUUACAAUUUUUUAUUACUCCAGUUUUCUUUUGGACCUUUGUCUGUCCAGGUAUUUUAGAAAAUUGAAGGUUCUUUAGUUUUCAUUGAGGGCAAGUCUUUAAGUUAGGAAAACUUAAUAGUCCUUUUCAUUUUUCUUUAUAGAAAGAAAAUAAAUUGUUGUAAAUUAAAACUUUAAAGUCAU
rnacentral:lncRNA from 10 species